UACAUAGGGGGCAAGCGUUGUUCGGAAUUACUGGGCGUAAAGGGCGCGUAGGCGGCCUUCUAAGUCGAACGUGAAAUCCCCGGGCUCAACCCGGGAACUGCGUCCGAUACUGGAAGGCUUGAAUCCGGGAGAGGGAUGUGGAAUUCCAGGUGUAGCGGUGAAAUGCGUAGAUAUCUGGAGGAACACCGGUGGCGAAGGCGACAUCCUGGACCGGUAUUGACGCUGAGGCGCGAAAGCCAGGGGAGCAAACGGG
rnacentral:rRNA from 1 species